ensembl:lncRNA novel transcript
AGGCAGAGGAACGUGGAAGGACUAGACUGCCUGAGUCUUCUGACCUUCAUCUUUCCCCUGUGUUGGAUGCCUCCUGCCCUCAAACAUCAGACUCCAGGUUCUUCAGCUUUUGGACUCUUGGACCUACCCCCCGAGUGGUUUGCCAGGGGCUCUCAGGCCUUCGGCUACAGACUGAGGGCUGCAUUAUCAGCUUUCCUACUUUUGAGGUUUUGGGACUUUACUGGCUUUCUUGCUCCUCAACUUGCAGAUGGCCUGUUGUGGGACCUCACCUUGUGAUCAUGUACAUGAGGGAAAUACACACCCCUCCCAGGGAUGAUGGAAGGUUAAGGUCCUAACACCUCCUGCACAUCUGAGCAGCUGCACAUUGAACCAGAUAGUCCUGGAAUGUGGGAAAACAGAGGCAGACUCAAGAGUCUGGAACAUUAUUUUAGGAUCACACAAAAAAGAUACAUAAUUUUCAUAGAAUGAUACUGAAAGCAUCUCAAAAAUAAAAUCACGAGUAUCUGCAGAUCACUAUGAGACUGGACUGGAACAUUACCUUCAGAAUAUAUCCUAAGACAAAGAAUUGCAUAUUGGCAUCGUAGUUUCCAAUCUAAGCACAUGCGCAAGGGAACUCAGUCUUCCUAGAAAAUCUCCAUAAUAAUAUCAUCAUCCCUGGAUACGGAAACGAAGGCUGAAAGAGAGAAGAGGACGUGGUUUCCUGAUAGCAGAGUUCAGGGUGGAAACUCCAGAUCCAGCUUUCUGCCUGUGACGAUUCUGGUGGAUGUGAGCCUUGGGUGCUGCCUCUGACACCUGCUGUGCACGGCAGCCAGAGACCGCGUCCAGAAUGCAGGCAGUUUGUCUCCCACAACGUGACAGGUGGUGCCGGCCUAAGCUAUGAUCCGCUAACAAAAUAGGGCUAUGAGCCCUCUGCCUUUCAGAGCAGGCGGGGAACAUUCCUGCAAUGCUAUGGGUUGGGUGUGUGAGUUUUUUCUUGAAGAACGUAAUUAGAAAGGGGGGUUCUAUGUGUCAUGUAUAAAAUACCGAUGGGCCAGCCACAGAGAACGCUGUAGGCUUUGACAGACAAGACAGGGUGUCUUUACCAGCAAAUGGACACCAUGCCACAUCAUCCUUAAUGAAAUACGUGCACUUUAGUGAGACAAAAAUGCAUCCGUAGCUCUGCCUGCCUCCUCACGAUCCUUCUCCAGCUAUAAGGACAUCAAAUAAACCAUUUAGACAGAGGGCCCUUUAA